GAUAUCAAUAAGCGGAGGAAAAGAAACCAACAGGGAUUGCCCUAGUAACGGCGAGUGAAGCGGCAACAGCUCAAAUUUGAAAUCUGGCUUUCGGGUCCGAGUUGUAAUUUGUAGAGGAUGCUUUUGGCGCGGUGCCUUCCGAGUUCCCUGGAACGGGACGCCUUAGAGGGUGAGAGCCCCGUACGGUUGGACACCAAGCCUCUGUAAAGCUCCUUCGACGAGUCGAGUAGUUUGGGAAUGCUGCUCUAAAUGGGAGGUAAAUUUCUUCUAAAGCUAAAUAUUGGCCAGAGACCGAUAGCGCACAAGUAGAGUGAUCGAAAGAUGAAAAGCACUUUGAAAAGAGGGUUAAAUAGCACGUGAAAUUGUUGAAAGGGAAGCGUUUGCGACCAGACCUUUUCUUAGCGGAUCAUCCGGUGUUAUCACCGGUGCACUUCGCUAAGUUUAGGCCAGCAUCGGUUUCUGUAGGGGGAUAAAAGCCUUGGGAACGUAGCUCCUUCGGGAGUGUUAUAGCCCUUUGCAUAAUACCCUUCUGGGGACCGAGGACCGCGCUAUAUGCAAGGAUGCUGGCAUAAUGGUCGUCAACGACCCGUCUUGAAACACGGACCAAGGAGUCGAACAUUUAUGCGAGUGUUUGGGUGUUAAACCCUCACGCGUAAUGAAAGUGAACGGAGGUGAGAGCCCUUACGGGUGCAUCAUCGACCGAUCCUGAUGUCUUCGGAUGGAUUUGAGUAAGAGCAUAACUGUUCGGACCCGAAAGAUGGUGAACUAUGCGUGGAUAGGGUGAAGCCAGAGGAAACUCUGGUGGAGGCUCGCAGCGGUUCUGACGUGCAAAUCGAUCGUCAAAUCUGCGCAUGGGGGCGAAAGACUUAUCGAACCAUCUAGUAGCUGGUUACCGCC
rnacentral:rRNA from 1 species